CAGAGCUAGAGAGGAGGCAAGAUGUUGGCAUAGCUGUUGACCUAAGAACCUGCUAUGCCAACAUCUUGUCAUCUUUCUUGUCUAC
rnacentral:pre_miRNA from 1 species